AAUGAACGCUGGCGGCGCGCCUAAUACAUGCAAGUCGAGCGAGAAGACGUAGCAAUACGUUUGUAAAGCGGCGAACGGGUGAGGAAUACAUGGGUAACCUACCCUCGAGUGGGGAAUAACUAGCCGAAAGGUUAGCUAAUACCGCGUACGCUUCUUGGACUUCGGUUCAGGGAGGAAAGCGAUGCCGAGGGUAUCGCGCUCUUGGAUGGGCUCAUGUCCUAUCAGCUUGUUGGGAGGUAACGGCUCACCAAGGCUUCGACGGGUAGCUGGUCUGAGAGGACGAUCAGCCACACUGGCACUGCGACACGGGCCAGACUCCUACGGGAGGCAGCAGUAAGGAAUAUUGCGCAAUGGGCGAAAGCCUGACGCAGCGACGCCG
rnacentral:rRNA from 1 species